AAAGCGAAACCAACUGCCACGGCAAAGACUCCUCCAGUAGCGGCUUCAAUGAAUGGAGGUGCUGCUAAAAGGGCUGCCGUACCAGCGACGAUUGAAACGAAACAAGCGAAAGCAAAAUCAAU
rnacentral:rRNA from 1 species